UACAGAGGCCUCGAGCGUUAGGCGGAAUCACUGGGCUUAAAGCGUGUGUAGGCGGAUCGUUAAGUGCCUUGUGAAAUCCCACGGCUUAACUGUGGAACGGCUGGGCAUACUGGCGGUCUUGAGCCAUCUAGGGGCGACUGGAACAAACGGUGGAGCGGUGAAAUGCGUAGAUAUCGUUUGGAACGCCAAUGGUGAAAACAGGUAGCUGGGGCUGUGCUGACGCUGAGACACGAAAGCCAGGGGAGCGAACGGG
rnacentral:rRNA from 1 species